rnacentral:rRNA from 1 species
GACGAACGCUGGCGGCGUGCCUAACACAUGCAAGUCGAACGAGAUCCAUGGGAGCUUGCUCCCGGAAGAUCUAGUGGCGAACGGGUGAGUAACACGUGAGAAACCUGCCCUGGAGUGGGGAAUAACUCGGGGAAACUCGAGCUAAUACCGCAUACCCUCGGAUGGUCGCAUGGCCGACCGAGGAAAGAUUUAUCGCUCUAGGAGGGUCUCGCGGCCUAUCAGCUAGUUGGUGGGGUAACGGCCUACCAAGGCAACGACGGGUAGCUGGUUUGAGAGAACGAUCAGCCACACUGGGACUGAGACACGGCCCAGACUCCUACGGGAGGCAGCAGUGGGGAAUCUUGCGCAAUGGGCGAAAGCCUGACGCAGCAACGCCGCGUGCGGGAUGACGGCCUUCGUGGUUGUAACCGACUUUCAGCAGGGACGAAAAUAGACGGUACCUGCAGAAGAAGACCCCGGCUAACUACGUGCCAGCAGCCGCGGUAAU